GUGCUUGCUUGGGCAGCACAUAUACUAAAACUGGAAUGAUACAGAGAAGACUAGCAUGGCCCCUGUGCAAGGCUGACAUGUAAACUCACGAAGUGUUCUACAUUUUU